rnacentral:tRNA from 1 species
GUGCCUGUAGCUCAGUGGAUAGAGCGUCUGUUUCCUAAGCAGAAAGUCGUAGGUUUGACCCCUACCUGAUUGUAUG